UACGUAGGGUGCAAGCGUUAAUCGGAAUUACUGGGCGUAAAGCGCACGUAGGCGGUUAUUCAAGUCAGAGGUGAAAGCCCGGGGCUCAACUCCGGAACUGCCUUUGAAACUAGAUAGCUUGAAUCCAGGAGAGGUGAGUGGAAUUCCGAGUAUAGAGGUGAAAUUCGUAGAUAUUCGGAAGAACACCAGUGGCGAAGGCGGCUCACUGGACUGGUAUUGACGCUGAGGUGCGAAAGCGUGGGGAGCAAACAGG
rnacentral:rRNA from 1 species